rnacentral:ncRNA from 9 species
AGAGGCUGGCCGUGAUGAAUUCG